rnacentral:sRNA from 1 species
GCUGGGCAUGGUGGCACAUGCCUCUAAUCCCAGCAGCUUGGGAGGCUGAGACAGGAGGAUUGCAAGUUCAAAGCCAGCCUCAGCAAAAGCAAGGAGCUAAACAACUCAGUGAGACCCUGUCUCUG